rnacentral:tRNA from 1 species
UGUCCAGGGAUGGGAAUCGAACCCAUAAUGUUCCGCUUACCGGGCAGAUGUCAUGUCUACUAGGCUAUCCUGGAC